ACGCGUUAAAUCGACCGCCUGGGGAGUACGGCCGCAAGGUUAAAACUCAAAUGAAUUGACGGGGGCCCGCACAAGCGGUGGAGCAUGUGGUUUAAUUCGAUGCAACGCGAAGAACCUUACCUACUCUUGACAUCCAGAGAACUUUCCAGAGAUGGAUUGGUGCCUUCGGGAACUCUGAGACAGGUGCUGCAUGGCUGUCGUCAGCUCGUGUUGUGAAAUGUUGGGUUAAGUCCCGCAACGAGCGCAACCCUUAUCCUUUGUUGCCAGCGGUUCGGCCGGGAACUCAAAGGAGACUGCCAGUGAUAAACUGGAGGAAGGUGGGGAUGACGUCAAGUCAUCAUGGCCCUUACGAGUAGGGCUACACACGUGCUACAAUGGCAUAUACAAAGAGAAGCGACCUCGCGAGAGCAAGCGGACCUCAUAAAGUAUGUCGUAGUCCGGAUUGGAGUCUGCAACUCGACUCCAUGAAGUCAGAAUCGCUAGUAAUCGUAGAUCAGAAUGCUACGGUGAAUACGUUCCCGGGCCUUGUACACACCGCCCGUCACACCAUGGGAGUGGGUUGCAAAAGAAGUAGGUAGCUUAACCUUCGGGAGGGCGCUUACCACUUUGUGAUUCA
rnacentral:rRNA from 1 species